UCUGGUUUCAUAAAAAAAGUGCCUUCAUUCAUGUGACUUCACAGCUGUGCCAGUAGAUCAAAGGUUCGCUUUUUACGUUGAAUGUGGAUUGGCCUAAAAUGUGUUGUUGAUUGUUGAAUGUUGUUGAACCUCAUGAUUUUAUU
rnacentral:lncRNA from 1 species